rnacentral:rRNA from 1 species
GCCAGACUCCUACGGGAGGCAGCAGUGGGGAAUAUUGCACAAUGGGGGAAACCCUGAUGCAGCGACGCCGCGUGAGUGAAGAAGUAUUUCGGUAUGUAAAGCUCUAUCAGCAGGAAAGAAAAUGACGGUACCUGACUAAGAAGCCCCGGCUAACUACGUGCCAGCAGCCGCGGUAAUACGUAGGGGGCAAGCGUUAUCCGGAUUUACUGGGUGUAAAGGGGGCGCAGACGGCAGCGCAAGCCAGGAGUGAAAGCCCGGGGCCCAACCCCGGGACUGCUCUUGGAACUGCGCGGCUGGAGUGCAGGAGGGGCAGGCGGAAUUCCUGGUGUAGCGGUGAAAUGCGUAGAUAUCAGGAGGAACACCGGUGGCGAAGGCGGCCUGCUGGACUGCGACUGACGUUGAGGCCCGAAAGCGUGGGGAGCAAACAGGAUUAGAUACCCCUGUACG